AGAGUUUGAUCAUGGCUCAGAGUGAACGCUGGCGGCAGGCCUAACACAUGCAAGUCGAGCGGCAGCGCGUCCGACCACCCUCGGGUGGUCGGAUGGCGGCGAGCGGCGGACGGGUGAGGAAUGCAUCGGAAUCUGCCUCGUUGUGGGGGAUAACGUAGGGAAACUUACGCUAAUACCGCAUACGACCUACGGGUGAAAGUGGGGGACCUUCGGGCCUCACGCGAUGAGAUGAGCCGAUGCCGGAUUAGCUAGUUGGCGGGGUAAAGGCCCACCAAGGCGACGAUCCGUAGCUGGUCUGAGAGGAUGAUCAGCCACACUGGAACUGAGACACGGUCCAGACUCCUACGGGAGGCAGCAGUGGGGAAUAUUGGACAAUGGGGGCAACCCUGAUCCAGCCAUGCCGCGUGUGUGAAGAAGGCCUUCGGGUUGUAAAGCACUUUUGUUGGGGAAGAAACCGGCCGGGUUAAUACCCUGGUUGAAUGACGGUACCCAAAGAAUAAGCACCGGCUAACUUCGUGCCAGCAGCCGCGGUAAUACGAAGGGUGCAAGCGUUACUCGGAAUUACUGGGCGUAAAGCGUGCGUAGGCGGUUUGUUAAGUCUGCUGUGAAAGCCCUGGGCUCAACCUGGGAACUGCAGUGGAUACUGGCGAGCUAGAGUGUGUC
rnacentral:rRNA from 1 species